AAGAAUUACCUUGCCGGUCUGAUGAUCUUCCAGAGGAGCUUGUGGGUUUAAUUAGUUUGCAUCUCUUGGGGCAGGACUACUGCUCUUUUCGUGGUGUUUGUAGAACAUGGCGAUGCAAGGGCAAUCCAUUUCC